rnacentral:rRNA from 1 species
UACGUAGGGUGCAAGCGUUAUCCGGAAUUAUUGGGCGUAAAGAGCUCGUAGGCGGUUUGUCGCGUCUGCUGUGAAAACUGGAGGCUCAACCUCCAGCCUGCAGUGGGUACGGGCAGACUAGAGUGCGGUAGGGGAGAUUGGAAUUCCCGGUGUAGCGGUGGAAUGCGCAGAUAUCAGGAGGAACACCGAUGGCGAAGGCAGAUCUCUGGGCCGUAACUGACGCUGAGGAGCGAAAGCGUGGGGAGCGAACAGG